rnacentral:rRNA from 1 species
UAUCAGAAGUGCGAAUGCUGACAUAAGUAACGAUAAAGCGGGUGAAAAGCCCGCUCGCCGGAAGACCAAGGGUUCCUGUCCAACGUUAAUCGGGGCAGGGUGAGUCGACCCCUAAGGCGAGGCCGAAAGGCGUAGUCGAUGGGAAACGGGUUAAUAUUCCCGUACUUGGUGUUACUGCGAAGGGGGGACGGAGAAGGCUAUGUUGGCCGGGCGACGGUUGUCCCGGUUUAAGCGUGUAGGUGUGUGUUCCAGGUAAAUCCGGUUCACUUUAACACUGAGGCGUGACGACGAGGCACUACGGUGCUGAAGCAACAAAUGCCCUGCUUCCAGGAAAAGCCUCUAAGCAUCAGGUAACAUCAAAUCGUACCCCAAACCGACACAGGUGGUCAGGUAGAGAAUACCAAGGCGCUUGAGAGAACUCGGGUGAAGGAACUAGGCAAAAUGGUGCCGUAACUUCGGGAGAAGGCACGCUGACAUGUAGGUGAAGUGAUUUACUCAUGGAGCUGAAGUCAGUCGAAGAUACCAGCUGGCUGCAACUGUUUAUUAAAAACACAGCACUGUGCAAACACGAAAGUGGACGUAUACGGUGUGACGCCUGCCCGGUGCCGGAAGGUUAAUUGAUGGGGUCAGCGCAAGCGAAGCUCCUGAUCGAAGCCCCGGUAAACGGCGGCCGUAACUAUAACGGUCCUAAGGUAGCGAAAUUCCUUGUCGGGUAAGUUCCGACCUGCACGAAUGGCGUAAUGAUGGCCAGGCUGUCUCCACCCGAGACUCAGUGAAAUUGAACUCGCUGUGAAGAUGCAGUGUACCCGCGGCAAGACGGAAAGACCCCG